rnacentral:lncRNA from 1 species
UCCUGCCAGUAACUGCAAGUACUUUCAGAUUUAUAUUUAGUGUCUUUUUGUUGUUUGGAUGACGGUACAAGUAUACCCGCUCACUUCCACGUGUUUUUGUUAUAUAUGUUUUUCUUUUUGUAUCCAUCUGAUGAGUUAAACGUUUUCCAAUAGAUUUUUUGAGAAUUGUCUCAUUGGAUAUCAUACCAGAUUUUCUAUUUUUAUAUAUCAUCAUAUCUUUUUUCGGUGGAGUCUACAUGGUGCAUAUGGUUGAUAUGGUCUGAAGUACUACAUAAUG